rnacentral:rRNA from 1 species
GCUUACCAUGCAAGUCGAGCGGGGGAAGGUAGCUUGCUACUGGACCUAGCGGCGGACGGGUGAGUAAUGCUUAGGAAUCUGCCUAUUAGUGGGGGACAACAUCUCGAAAGGGAUGCUAAUACCGCAUACGUCCUACGGGAGAAAGCAGGGGAUCUUCGGACCUUGCGCUAAUAGAUGAGCCUAAGUCGGAUUAGCUAGUUGGUGGGGUAAAGGCCUACCAAGGCGACGAUCUGUAGCGGGUCUGAGAGGAUGAUCCGCCACACUGGGACUGAGACACGGCCCAGACUCCUACGGGAGGCAGCAGUGGGGAAUAUUGGACAAUGGGGGGAACCCUGAUCCAGCCAUGCCGCGUGUGUGAAGAAGGCCUUAUGGUUGUAAAGCACUUUAAGCGAGGAGGAGGCUACUUUAGUUAAUACCUAGAGAUAGUGGACGUUACUCGCAGAAUAAGCACCGGCUAACUCUGUGCCAGCAGCCGCGGUAAUACAGAGGGUGCGAGCGUUAAUCGGAUUUACUGGGCGUAAAGCGUGCGUAGGCGGCUUAUUAAGUCGGAUGUGAAAUCCCCGAGCUUAACUUGGGAAUUGCAUUCGAUACUGGUGAGCUAGAGUAUGGGAGAGGAUGGUAGAAUUCCAGGUGUAGCGGUGAAAUGCGUAGAGAUCUGGAGGAAUACCGAUGGCGAAGGCAGCCAUCUGGCCUAAUACUGACGCUGAGGUACGAAAGCAUGGGGAGCAAACAGGAUUAGAUACCCUGGUAGUCCAUGCCGUAAACGAUGUCUACUAGCCGUUGGGGCCUUUGAGGCUUUAGUGGCGCAGCUAACGCGAUAAGUAGACCGCCUGGGGAGUACGGUCGCAAGACUAAAACUCAAAUGAAUUGACGGGGGCCCGCACAAGCGGUGGAGCAUGUGGUUUAAUUCGAUGCAACGCGAAGAACCUUACCUGGCCUUGACAUACUAGAACUUUCCAGANAUGGAUUGGUGCCUUCGGGAAUCUAGAUACNGNGCUGCAUGGCUGUCGUCAGCUCGUGUCGGAGGUUGGGUUAAGUCCCGCAACAGCGCAACCCUUUUCCUUA